rnacentral:misc_RNA from 1 species
GAGGAAUUUCUUAUUGGAUGGGCUAACCGGGAAACACGGUAGUGGGCCGUACAAUGGGAUCGCCUCUUUUAGCGCUAGACGCAGUGAUAGAGACAACUUUGACUGGUGGGCUUUGGAUCAAGUACAGUCGUUUCUUUUUGUUCUAACGGUCAUCAAAUAAAUCACUCCAAAGAUUCUUUCGUAAAAAAAAAAAAAAAAAAAA